UGUAAGUUCACCGUUGAAAAAUUUUAAGGUUAUUUAUUCCUAUUUCUUAGUUCAAAUUGUUUAAGUUUAUUUUCAUAAUAAAAUCAACAGGAUCAUGAUGUGGAAGGUUAAAAAAUGGGAGAUGUACCAUCACAAGAGCAGGUUGAUGAGAUGGAUAUCUUCUUAAUCGUGGAGGAAAAAGAAAAAGGAGAUGAUGAAGUGGGAGGUUUCAAAACAGGAGAUGCACCAUCACGAGACAAUGUCGAAGAGAUUGUUAUGGCCACAAUUUUGAAAGACAAAGGAAAAAAAGUAUUUUCUAAAUAAUAGUUUUACAUAGGUUGUUUCAUAUGUUAAUUUAUCUUUUUUUUUUACUUUUUCAAAUUUAUGAUAAAUUUUUAGCUCAGUUUGUUGUGGAUUUUGUCUAGUGUUCUUGGUAUUUAUAUUGUUAUUACAAUGUAUAUGUGAUAUAUAAUAUGUAUAUGAUUAUAAUAUACAUACAUUGUGCAUCAAAAUGACAACGUUAUUAUAAA